rnacentral:rRNA from 1 species
CCUACGGGAGGCAGCAGUGGGGAAUAUUGCGCAAUGGGCGAAAGCCUGACGCAGCGACGCAGCGUGAGGGACGAAGGCCUUCGGGUUGUAAACCUCUUUCAGCGGGGACGAAGCGAAAGUGACGGUACCCGCAGAAGAAGCACCGGCUAACUACGUGCCAGCAGCCGCGGUAAUACGUAGGGUGCAAGCAUUGUCCGGAUUUAUUGGGCGUAAAGAGCUCGUAGGCGGCUUGUCACGUCGGAUGUGAAAACUCGGGGCUCAACCCCGAGCCUGCAUUCGAUACGGGCUAGCUAGAGUGUUGCAGGGGAGACUGGAAUUCCUGGUGUAGCGGUGAAAUGCGCAGAUAUCAGGAGGAACACCGGUGGCGAAGGCGGGUCUACUGGGCAACUACUGACGCUGAGGAGCGAAAGCGUAGGGGAGCGAACAGGAUUAGAUACCCUGGUAGUCCACGCCGUAAACGGUGGGCGCUAGGUGUGGGAACCUUCCGACGUUCUCUGUGCCGUAGCUAACGCAUUAAGCGCCCCGCCUGGGGAGUACGGCCGCAAGGCUAAAACGUCAAAUGAAUUGACGG